rnacentral:rRNA from 1 species
AUUGAACGCUGGCGGCAGGCCUAACACAUGCAAGUCGAGCGGAGCGGCGGACGGGUGAGUAAUGCCUAGGAAUCUGCCUGGUAGUGGGGGAUAAAGUCCGGAAAAGGGCGCUAAUACCGCAUACUAUCAGAUGAGCCUAGGUCGGAUUAGCUAGUUGGUGGGGUAAAGGCCUACCAAGGCGACGAUCGGUAACUGGUCUGAGAGGAGGAUCAAUCACACUGGGACGAGUACACGGUCCAUACUCCUACGGGAGGCAGCAGUGGGGAAUAUUGGACAAUGGGCGAAAGCCUGAUCCAGCCAUGCCGCGUAUGUAAAGAAGGUCUUCGGAUGGUAAAACACUUUAAGUUGGGAGGCGUUACCAACAGAAUGAGCACCGGCUAACUUCGUGCCAGCAGCCGCGGUAAUAC